AGCUGGUCCAAGUGAAGUAGUGUUUACAACUAAUUGAUCACAACCUGUUAGAUUCCUUUGUUCCUUCUCCAGUCCCACUGCUUCACUUGACUGGCCUAAA
rnacentral:Y_RNA from 1 species